CCUACGGGAGGCAGCAGUGGGGGAUAUUGCACAAUGGGGGAAACCCUGAUGCAGCGACGCCGCGUGAGUGAAGAAGUAUCUCGGUACGUAAAGCUCUAUCAGCAGGGAAGAAAAUAAUGGUACUUGACUAAGAAGCACCGGCGAACUACGUCCCAGCAGCCGCGGUGAUACGUAGGGGGCAAGCGUUAUUCGGAUGUACUGGGUGUAAAGGGAGCGUAGACGGCAGCACAAGUCUGGAGUGAAAUCCCGGGGCGCAACCCCGGAACUGCUCUGGAAACUGUGCGGCUGGAGUGCAGGAGGGGUAAGCGGAAUUCCUAGUGUAGCGGUGAAAUGCGUAGAUAUUAGGAGGAACACCGGUGGCGAAGGCGGCUUACUGGACUGUAACUGACGUUGAGGCUCGAAAGCGUGGGGAGCAAACAGGAUUAGAUACCCGUGUAGUC
rnacentral:rRNA from 1 species